AGCAGAUGUACUAUUUUUUCAAAUCUAGCUUGUUGAUCUGUCGUCUUUCAGAGCGUCCCUCAGAACUUUACGCACCGAGAACAUCCUCGCCAUCCAACAGAGAGAGAAGAGGUGAGAGCUCCAAGGUCAGCCGGAUCAACUCUCAAGUCCAGGAACUGCUCCGGUCCGGGUCGGCGGACCAUAUUUCUGCCUCGUUUCGGUUCUGAGGUGGAUCGGUUUGGGGUAGCUGGCCGAUUGACAACAUUUCGUUUCAUACGUAAAUUAACCGUAAUUAUCGGAAAUUACAAGUCAACAAAGAAUACCGAACUGCCAUAAAUUUAGGUAUUUAAAAGCAGAAUUCAAUGUCAUAAAAUACGCAAAAUGCAAACAUUGAUAAAUCAAUUUUAAAACAGCGUCUGAACAACUUGUGAACUUUGUUUCAAUCUUUCCGUUUUUGUCUUUUUUCACACACUGUUCUUCGUUCACCAGAAAAUUUAUUAGUUACGACUUUGGUUUUUCUCGCUAUUAAUUCUAGCGAGAACACUUACUAAAAUCCAAGAUCAGCCCCUGAUAAGAUCAAUUCUCCAAUUAUAAAACUUACUCCGAAUUUAUUUCAACGCUUUUGUAUAGUGUAGUUCUGUUAAUUUAAAAUUUUAAUUUUUAACUUAUCUUGAAAUGGCUAUAUUUUACCCAGCAUUUGCGAUUGAAGAAGAUUUACUCCAGCUACUUUUGCAAAGUUAUUCAAUCGAUGAUAUCGAACUUUUGAAACCUCUAAAUGGCUUCGACAGUGUAAACUACCACGUUAAAACACGCAAAAUUUAUUUCGAUGAUUGUCGAAACUUUUUGUUAAAAAUUGGCCCUUGCACCGACCCUGAUCAUGUGUCUGAAAUAUUUAAUGACCAGAUAAACUUGAUGCGAUUUCUGUACCAAAAAGUUCCUUCAAUUACACAACGAGUUUUUAAUUCCGUAGAUGGAAAAACAGUUAUCAAGACAAUGGUUGCCUGUAAGAAUCCCAAAAAUGAGGGCAAACAUUUUCAUAAUGUAACGCUAAUCGAAUUCAUAGAAGCAACGCCUAUGGUUGAGAUGAUUCCCUUUUCAUUAGCACUUAUCGAAAAUGUAGGUGAAAAAUUUGCCCGACUUUCAAUAGCGCUUCAGAAGUUUUCUUCGGUUAUUACAAAACGCAGAGAUUUUAAAUGGGAUCCGAAAAACGUGAUCAAAUGUGAAAGUUUUCUCUAUCUAUUGUCUGAUUUUGGCCAAGAUGAACGCAUCAAGAAAUGUGCAACAUUUUUGCAGAGAUUUAAGAAAGAAGUCUUUCAAAAAAUAGAAUCAAAUUGCAGAGAAGCGGUGAUUCAUUCAGAUGGUAAUUGCAACAAUAUUCUGGUCAAUAAUGAAAAUUGCGAUGAAGUCAGGGCAAUAAUCGAUUUCGAGGACACUUGCUCUUCUUAUCUGGUGUUCGAGUGCGGAUCCAUUCUCAGCUCCCUUCUAACGUGCACACCUGAGAAGAGUUUUGCUCAAACAGGAAAUGCCUUCAUGAAAGGGUUCACUAGAAUCCGCCCUCUUUUAGAGGUCGAGUGGUCAUUUUUAGUGGAGGCCACUCUAUCAAGAUUGCUGCAACUCCAGAUUUGGACUCUCCAUGCAGCGAAUCAAAAUCCAGAUAACUCGAAUUAUAUUUUGCAAAGUAAUGAAGCUGGCUGGAGAGUGUUUGAUAAAUUGAUUUCAGAAGAAAAAAUCAAAACUUUGGCGUCGUGGAGAAAUGAUGUCAUUUUGACAACAAAUGCAGAACUUUGAUAUAAUACUGUCUUAUACUCUAUUGUGUCUAUGUUAUACUCUACUGUGUUAUAAAUCAUCGGAAAUUCAAUUGA